UAGAGGUCCGCCUGCCAGUGACUCUCAGUUUAACGGCCGCGGUAUUUUGACCGUGCAAAGGUAGCGCAAUCACUUGUCUUUUAAAUGGAGACCUGUAUGAAUGGCAUCACGAGGGCUUAACUGUCUCCUUUCUUCAGCCAAUGAAAUUGAUCUCCCCGUGCAGAAGCGGGGAUACCUACAUAAGACGAGAAGACCCUAUGGAGCUUCAGACACCAAAGCAGCCUACGUCAAGCACACUGAUACAAAAGACCAAACUAAGUAGAACCUGCCCUAAUGUCUUCGGUUGGGGCGACCUUGGGGAAAUAAAAAACCCCCAUGAGGAAUGGAAGCAUGCUUUCACAACCAAGAGCUCCCGCUCUAAGAACCAGAACUUCUGACCACUAGAUCCGGCAACGCCGAUCAACGGACCGAGUUACCCUAGGGAUAACAGCGCAAUCUCCUUACAGAGCCCUUAUCGACAAGGGGGUUUACGACCUCGAUGUUGGAUCAGGACAUCCUAAUGGUGCAGCCGCUAUUAAAGGUUCGUUUGUUCAACGAUUAAAGUCCUACGUGAUCUG
rnacentral:rRNA from 1 species